UACGUAGGAGGCGAGCGUUGUCCGGAGUUACUGGGCGUAAAGGGUGCGCAGGCGGCGGUUCGCGUGGAUAGAUGAAAUCUCCUGGCUUACCUGGGAGGAUGGUAUCCAGACGGGAUCGCUUGAGGGUCGGAGAGGGGCGUGGAAUUCCGGGUGGAGCGGUGAAAUGCGUAGAGAUCCGGAGAACACCGACGGCGUAGGCAGCGCCCGUGG
rnacentral:rRNA from 1 species